rnacentral:rRNA from 1 species
CGGACGGGUGAGUAAUGUCUGGGAAACUGCCUGAUGGAGGGGGAUAACUACUGGAAACGGUAGCUAAUACCGCAUAACGUCGCAGGACCAAAGAGGGGGACCUUCGGGCCUCUUGCCAUCGGAUGUGCCCAGAUGGGAUUAGCUAGUAGGUGGGGUAAAGGCUCACCUAGGCGACGAUCCCUAGCUGGUCUGAGAGGAUGACCAGCCACACUGGAACUGAGACACGGUCCAG